UCAACCCUCAAGCUUGGCUUGCUGUUGGACCAUUCGUCGGGAUAUGACGGGUCCUAAAGAUAAUGACAGAGUCGUGUUGGACCCUCAAUGCAACGAGCUUUUAUAGCACGCAUGGAAGUGGUCGGCCACUCUUGUCCCAACCCUAAUUUUACAA
rnacentral:misc_RNA from 1 species